ensembl:lncRNA
GGGAGGUCAGAGGGAGGUUAGAGGGAGGUCGGAGGGAGGUUAGAGGGAGGUCAGAGGGAGGUCAGAGGGAGGUCAGAGGGAGGUUAGAGGGAGGUUAGAGGGAGGUCAGAGGGAGGUCAGAGGGAGGUUAGAGGGAAGUUAGAGGGAGGUUAGAGGGAGGUCAGAGGGAGGUUAGAGGGAGGUUAGAGGGACUAGUAGCAGUGGUGGUAGUCGAACCAUAGUACAACAUGGGGCUGAUAGAAGGCCCAGAGGUCAAGGAUCAAAGGUCAGGGAGUGAGGGGUCAUAGAGGGACUGAGGGAAUAACCAGUUAGCUCAGGGAGUUAUGAUUCUUCAGGCUGUCUGAGCGCCUCACUCUGUCCUCCGGAGUAUUUCUGUACCAGCUCCUGACACACAG